rnacentral:tRNA from 1 species
GGUGGCUCAGUGGUUAAGUGGUUGGCUGCUAACCAAAAGGUUGGUGGUUCAAACCAACCAGACACCC